GGCAGCUCUUCUCUCCGAAAGCAACAUGGCCACACAAAGGCACUCACAGGCUCCAUGACUGGGACAAGUCACCUAAUCUCUCUAAACUUUGGCGUCUUCACCCACAACUCGGACAGCGACAUGUAUCGCAGAGGAUCACCGUGAUCGCUGAGGAACUGUUUGAGGUCUCCCUGAGGAAAAGCCAAGCGUCUCUGUCAAGUCAGAGUCCAGCCGGUAUCUCCAAAGCAUCCAACCCAGCAGGUGCUCACAAGCUGUUGCCCGCGAUGCAGGUGUAGCGGCCCGAGUCCUCGGGGGCAACAUCGUGGAUCACCAGGGAGCCGUUCUGGAAGAUGUGCAUCCUGCCAGGAGAGAAGUCACAGCGUUGCCCACCAGGCCAG